GCAAGGUUUUCACUGAUAACCGCGACGCCUUACAAGUUCGACCUGCAAGUUCUUUCGGCAUAUCAGUGUCCAGCAGAUGGCGCCACAGCUGAAUUUUCUCCAGUUCUUGUGUACGCCAUGCUUGCAGAAGACUGGGGAAAAAAAAAAACCCAAGAGUUAAAAGAGAUAUCUUCCUUUUCAUCAUAUAAAGCCUCCUUUGUCGUGUCAGAGGCCCUUUUUAUAAGAAUUGGUGGAAUUAAAGUUGAGGUCUUUAAAAAAGUCGACUAAAACAAAAAAAAUGCAGGUUUUUUUUUAAGGAAUAUUAAAAAAAAUUUAAGGAAUAUUUGUUCAUUAGGCUUCCCACUUUUGUAAAAAGAAAAGAGGAUUUAUUUAUUAUCUUCAUGUACACGUACCACAUGUAGCUGUGUGAGUUUAUGUGCACCACCUGCAUAGAGGUUUGAAGUCACCCGAUCUCUUAGAACUGGAGUAACAGGCAGUUGUGAGCAGCGAGAAUGUGGGGGCUAUGGAGCCGGACCUCGUCCUCUCCGAGAUCAGUACGCGCUCUUUACUACCGAGCCGUCGCUCCAGUCCUAAGUAUUUGAGUGGGAACACGUGUGCAGGGCAAAGCACCACUGAUUGCGGUGUCGUGGUUUCCAAGUGUGUUCCAGGAUUACUCUCAGUGAGCAGGACCUGAACUGCAAGCGCUUUUCUCCACUGAGCCCUUUGGCCUGCCCACGUUUUCAAACAGUAGAAAUUGCCACGGGAGCUCGAUGGCGUUGAGGAUACAGCGCAGCGAUCGAAUUCUGGGCUAUGAUCAAUGCACGGCGUGUAAAUGUAUGAAACGUUAAAAGCAAGAAAAAAAAUGUUACUUAAAAAUGAGCCAUGGAGGUCCAAAAACCUAAGCAAUCGCCCAGGGUGACUUCCAAGGCGUGGCGGCGGUGAGCUCAUCCGCUGCGACGGAAAUGGCCACGGAGGAAGCCGGGCGGUGGCCGCAGCGCCGGGACAGCGCCGCCUGCUGGUCAAAGGCGACAGAGAGCUGGGCCCGCAGGGCGUGGACCCUGCACAUUCCAGAGAGCUCACAAGGACUUUAGGAGCCAGGGACAUAGCUUGAGCCGUCCCUCUGCCGGGACGAGAAGGUUCGAUGCCUGCUAUAGUCAGGGAAGACAAUCUCCCUGAGGGUUUUUUAGCGGUUUUAAUGGUUCCUAAAGCUAAAAGGGGUGAAUUUGAUUUGUAUAACGUUGUCACUUUAGACCACUCUAGUGGAGAAUGGAAAACAGAACCUAAUAGGGGUGCACUUUUAUUUUAUCCUGUCUCAAAGGGACUUGCCAAUUAUUAAAGAGGCUAUAAGGCAGGCUUUAAAUAUGAGCAGGGGGUUGCGUUUUAAAGGUAGAUGCGCUAGUCAUUUCUGCCUGAUAAUUUUAUUCUAGGAAGAUUGCAGUGAGGUUUCUGGAGUCCCGCCUCCUCUCCCCACUUCCGUUUUCUCUCCCCUCAUUUGGCAAGAGCCUCUGCACCCAUCUCCUUAGAACACGUCGUCGUCAUCCACUGGAAGAGAGGAUUGUGGUACCACCUUUUCCUCCUAUGGCUGAAGCCGGCAGAAAGAUGACGGAUCGCUAUCUGCUCUUCAGCCUGCCUGGUUGCCGGGAAGCCAGCAGGAUGAUGCUAAGGCAGCUCUUACUGUGCUGCCUCUCAUUAGGCAGCAGGUGCUGUCUCAUGGACAACCCUGCGUUCUCAUUAUUCAGUGAUUAGGUCUUCCUUAGUCCCUUCCACUCACAGCGAUUGCUUAAGAAUCUUUCGUAACUUUGUCUGACUUCUUGUUAAGAGAAUGAAGACCCACAGAUGGGCGAUUUCAUAGCACACUUGCCCCUGAAAUUAUGCAGAUGGCUGUCAGAGAUCUAUCAGAGAUCCCGGAAGGCCCUCGUGGCCACACUUCCGACCUAAACUCCGAACCCCUCUGAUGGGACUCUGGGAGGGACAGGCAUUGUCUUCAUCCUGUAUCCAUGCGGUAGCAAACGGUCUGUGGUCACAAAGGAGCCCUGGCUAGCUCAGCGGGGAACAAAACAGAACCAGUAGGAGGUUCUAGAGGUGGGAGGGAAACAGAGAAACUGGGCAAUAACAAUAAUCAAAAUGCACCAUGUAUAUAUUUAGAUGAUUUUUGUUUAUUUGAGAGAGGUCUUAUCAAGUAACACUGGAUGGCAUUUAAUCCAUAGAGCUUUAUCCUCCUGCCUCUGGAGAUGAAAGGCAUGUAUCUCCACGCCCAGUGUAUGAAAGUUCACUGCAGGAGAUGUAAAAGGAAUGCUAUUUCCUGGGUCCCUGUUUGACCUGAAGACUGAGAUUCUCGGCGCAGCCCAUCGAAUGAAAUAAAACACAAAGACCACCCUCAGGAAGAGGCAACUCGGUCCAGAUCCUAAACUGAAGCUGAAUCGGGAAAGAGUCGCCAGAGCCCUCCCUCUCUUCGGCCAUCCCACCCUUUGCCGUUUUUUCAUUUGCAAACUCAGUGUGCAGAGCCUGAGGUAACCUCGGAGGAAAAAACUGUUACACUGGGAAGAAGUCUGCAGUGCGGACUGGGUGUGGCACUGAAACACCGGUCAUUUUCUCUUUCAAAACAAACGAUCUUUGCCUCCCCCCCCCCCCCCAGCUAAGGACUGAACCCAGGGCCUUCUCUACCACUGAGCUAAAUCCCCAACCCCUCUUUGCAUUUUUUUAAAUUGUAUUUACUGCUAUUGUUUGUGUAAGAGGUGGGUGUUAGAGCAAAGAGCUGGUGAAAUAUCUGACCUAGGCCCACAUUCGGACAAAGCACCCCAAACCAACAUGAUUCCAUGUGGAAAGGCUUAAAGAGAGAAGAAGAGUAGAAAAGGGGAGAAGCAAGGAGGCCGGCCAUGGGCACGUGGAGGGAAGAGGGGAGGGGAGGAUGGAGAGAGAAGGGAUGAAGGGGAAGAGGGCAAGAGGAGUGGCCAAGUAGCCCCUUAUAUAGAGUCAGGCAUACCUGGCUGUUGCCAGGCAACUGGGGCGGAGCAUACCUGGCUGUUGCCAGGUAGCUGUGGGGAUGGAGCUUAGACAGAAUGCUAACACAGAGGCUCAAUCUUUCAGUUAGGUGGAGUCUGUCUUUUAGCCAAGGGGCCAUCACUAGGCCUCCUUAGACCAUGAUAAAGAGACUCACAUCGUAAUUUAACAGUUCUUUAAUGAGACACUAUAUUUUCUUCCCAGAAUCCACCCCUAGUGCAGCAGCUUGCAGGGCUGUGGAACCACAGCCAGGUACUAUUCUGAAUUAUUCAGAAAAACGUAACUUCUCCUGCUCUUCUCUUUUCUAAGCACGUUUUGCUUCACACUGCCCCCCACACCCCCCCUGCGUUUCCCUCCUUUCUCUAAAGUCUCCAGAGCACCACGUGGCUCCUUGUUCCCCAUGUCCGACCUGACACAAACGACAUGGGCUUUUUAUUGUUAUUAGUUUCCUUUCGGCCCACCCUGGAGCUGCUGAAACUUAUAACUGGUCCGCCUUGGUUUGUUGUUGAUGUUGUUUUUUAACUCUAAAAAGAAUCCAUUCUCAGAUCGUAAGUUCUUGUAUCACUGCAGGGCUGUGGUGAUGUGUUGAUAAAAAGAUAAAGAGAGGGGGAUAUGUUCUAUGGAGGUGUGGUGAGGUGUUGGGGAAGGGUUUCUGCUAACCUGCGGGCUCAUGCUGAGUCAUCCCUUGCCCUGAGAGACCAGCCACACGACCCGUAUAGUAUAGAAGAGAAUUCAUUCAGGGCACGGGGAGGGGGGUUGAAAGGGUAGUAGGGGCAGAGAAAGAGAGAGAGAGAGAGAAAAGUAGUAGAAGCCGGCUAUGAGCAUGUAGGAGUUCGGGGGUGGGGAAGGGAAUGGGGAGAGAAGGGACAAAGGGGAGAAAGAGGGUAAGAGAGCAAGAGGGGGCAAGCGGCCCCUUUUAUAGUGACAGGCAUAACUGCUGUAACCAGAUAACUGGGGCAGAGCCUAGACAGAAAGCUAACAUGUGUAAGGCAUGUAGAUGUGAGGCCCGUUUUUUUUUUCUGCUAACCUGUAACAUGGGGAGGAGAGAAGUCUCUCUGUUUUGGCCAAACUAUUAUUAAAUGUACUUUCUUUUACCAGUUUCUUUGGAAUAUAGAGGGACUGAGGCAAUGGUUUAUCAACCUAUGCACCUUAUAACAGUGGUGUUGCUAGUGUCCAACUGCUUAACUCAACAACUAUACACUGUUCGGUUUCAGACCCCAAGACAAGGCACUGAGCUGCAUAUUUUACAUACCAAAGUAGACCAGCCCUCCAGGUUCUCCCAGCAUUCCUCAGUCCCUACCUGGCAUACCCUGCCCCCAACCCUAAACUUUCCAGCCCAGGGGUUGGGCUGCCCUUCCCCAAGGACUCUUCCCUAUAUAGUCCAAACAUUUUGUGCUCUCUCUCUUUCUCUCUUUCCUUCUCCCUCUCCCCCUUCUCUCCCCUUGGCAACUCCCCUGGCUUUAGUGCUUGGGGCCAGCGAGUUCCCCCUAAUAAACCUGCCUUCAGUAUAACCUAAUCUGGCUUGAACUGGCUCAGUUCACAAGCAGCAGAGAAUUAACUUAUCACACACCAUCAGAGAAAUUUGUCUGCUAAGAAAUCUCUUCAGUGUCAGGAGGCAGAGACAAUGACUCUCUGUGGGUUUAGGAACAGCCAGGGCUACACAAAGAAAUCCUUUCUGGGGGGCCCAGGCUAGAAAGGAGAAGGAAGAAGAGAAAUCUCUUUCAGUGUAAAAAGGGGGCUUUUUUUAGCACACUGUUUUCACAUAAUUAGUUGGUUUUCUUAUAAAAGUAAUCUAACCUGGGCAUGGUGGGGCACACUUAGCACUCUGGUCGCCAAAGCAGUAGGGUGUCAUGUUCAAGGCCACCCUGGUUACAAGGUAAAAACCCUGUCAAAGAAACAAUAGAAAAAAAAAAAGGUAGAGCUUUUGCAGUGCAUGCUACAGACUUCAACCCCUAAUACCCCAAGUCAAUAAAUAACACACAAAACCAAAAGAAUAUUUUAACAUUGUCCCUUUAAAAGAAAGCCAUUCCGAAUUGUUUCUCUCUGAGCUAAGCCUGGAAUUAAGGCAAAGGGGCUUGGCUCAGGCCUCGGGCUCUGUCACAUUCCCCGGAACACUUGGCCCAUCUGCUGCCUGACUCAGACCAAAAUUCACAUGUGGCUCCAGCUCUUGACAGCUGAAGUCGUCUUUUUUUGUUGAAUUGGAAUUUCAGUUUGGGGCUGGCUGGGAUGAGUUCACACACACACACACACACACACACACACACACACACACACACACCCUAAAAACAGGUUCUGUGGGUUAGAGAAAUCUCUCUGAGCUGAGAGGGAUAGGCAGACUUUUUUUUUUUUUUUUUCCGGAGCUGGGGACCGAACCCAGGGCCUUGCGCUUGCUAGGCAAGCACUCUACCACUGAGCUAAAUCCCCAACCCCAGGCAGACAUUUUUAAAACGACUCAGGUUUAUUACUUGGACUUCCCCCACACCCCCCAAAUCAGGCUCCUUUCCUACGUAUGCCGGCUCAUUGCUCCUGUGAGUUUUAGUUCCUACCAAGUUUCAUCUGCCUGCUAGAUAUCCGCUUGCGCUGUGCCCACAACAAUGGAAUAUUUGCGUGCUCCAGUGCUUCUGAGAGAGCUAAGCAGCAGGAGACAAGCUGCCUGCAGCUGCUCCAGCCCUCCUCUCAGCCCUCCUCCCAGAGACUCUCCGGAGGCUCCCCUUUCGGAUUCGAGCCCCAGCUAGAACAAUAAGCCGAUGUCACAGGCUUAUCUUUACCUUCUCAGUUAAAGAAAAAGGUUGAUAAAAAAUUUUCAUAAUCUGAAAAAAAUUAUUAAAAGUCACAGGUGGUGACAUGCAGAGGGUAUCCGGGGAAUUCAUCCAGGGAAUUAAUCAGGUGUGCUGCACUAGUCCGGUGUGAUGGCGUAAGCUUGUAACCCCAGCACUCAGGAGGCAGAAGUAGGAAAUUCAAGAGUUCAAAGACAGGAUACCCUCCCCCGCGCGGCACCCCACCCCAACUCCUUGAGGUCAUCUCAAAAAGAAAUAAAACAACUAAGAAAAGCAUUAGACAGUGAAUGUCGGCUAAUCCCACGUUUAUACCACACUGUCAGCAUAGUACAAUACCCCAUACAUCAUUUAUGCCCAAAAUAUACUAAGUGCUUUCCAUUCACAGAUUAUCUCAUUUAGAAACGCAGGCCGCGACACGAGUGCUGCUGUGAGGAUUUUAGGACGGGGCACUUGGAACAAAUCAGACAUUACGAUUACCCUAUUUUAUAUGUAACAGACGUCACACAAGAAACACCACAAGCUCCUCAACAGUGGUCCCAGCUGCCGUUCUCCAGGGCCUCUAAUUUAGUUUUGUGGUUGCUGUUGUUUCUGUUUGGUUUGGUUUUGGACAGGGUCUCCCGGUAUCGGACAGGCUGGCUUCUUCACUCUACCAAGGAUUUGGAUCACAGGUGGGCAUCAUCAUUUCUGUCCUCCAGGAGCUUCAAGGCUGCCGACCACACCCAUAGCGCCAUUCAUGAGCCCUUCUUUGAGCCUCAGUUAAGUGCUUCCUCUGAAAGACCAGCCCCGCCCCCCUGAGAAGUGAAAGCACUCAGUACACCAGGUUUGCCAUCGAUCCCUAUGCUACCUCACUUCGUCUUUACAACAUUGUCAUCGUGAGUCGGUCACUACUACCUCAAGUGAAACGAAUAAAAGACCAGAGAGUGUGGGUUAACUACCCGGAGGCAGGGGGCUGACGAUAAUGGCGAGAACAAAGCGCGCCUGCGCUGGGACUCUCUUUGAGCUCACAGUGCAGAUACCGGCCGCCUGCUACUUCCCUUUCCUCUGUGUUGUUAGUAACACUCCAGUCAGCCAUAACGCGGAUGCCUGUUUUCAACACGCCCCGUGAAUACAAACCCAGUUAGAUGUUGUUGACUUGUGCCAUGAAGUCAUUUCAAGAGUGAAAACAAGCGAAAGCGGUUCUGAAGCUGGCCGCACAACAGCUGGGAGGAAGAGGCGGAAACAUUUAAAAGGAGCUCGGUAGGGCACGGGUAGGAAAAGGGCUCUUCAAACAGAAAAUACAGCAUGGCGCCGUUUCUGUUUUUAAAAGUCACACAGAACAAUGACACACUUAUACACAUACAUCCAUGAUGACCGAAGGAGAAAUGUGGGGAAUCUUGGUUCUCUGGGCGGGGGCCGGGCUCGCGGUGAGAGAGUAGUGAUAUUUUGCAAGGUUUAUUAACGUAAUGGGUGUGUGAGAGGAAGGGGACAAAGGACUGGGUGGGGCGGGCAAAGACGCUGUCAGAAAAUAGAUCAGAAUAAAAAAAAUCUAAUAAACAUUUUUUGAAAAGAAAAUAGAAGAUUAACCACGAGCUGUAAUGGGAGUGGCGUGAACACACCAGGCUAAAGCCACCGUCUGUGUCCAUAGAGACAGAUAGAUGUUGGCUCGGCUUAACGUCUCAUCGUGAAUUCAAUGGUUUUUAAUAUUUAAUGUUUCUUAAGUCAAUCGGAAAGGUUCUCAAGUGUGGCUCUUGGAACGGGACCAGCCCGGACUGGGGGAGGCCUGACUCUGUUCCUUUGUGUUGUUGAACUAAUUUCCUUAUCUACUGAGUUGAGAGAAUAGAAAGAAACAGGUUCCUGAAAGUGCUGUGAGGAUUAAAUGGACAAUCGCUCAGGCCACUGGAACUUGUGGGUCCCCGCCUGGCUGCUCUCUCUUGCCCCACCCCAGUCCUUCACCCUCACCUGAUUUUUAAUUUUAUCUUUGUAAGAUACCCAAAUGUCCACCCUGAGAACAUUUGUUCAUGACUAAAUGCCCACACGAUGCCAAGUUAAAUGAAUAAAGCAUUGGAAUCUGAUA